rnacentral:rRNA from 1 species
GAAAGACAAUAAUUUUCAGUACCUCCUGCUCAAUGAAUUUUCAAUAGCCGCAGAAAUCUGUGCUAAGGUAGCAUAAUCACUUGCCUAAUAAUUAUAGGAUGGAAUGAAAGGAAUUACACGUAAACUUCUUUAUUAAAAAUAUUUAUUUAACUUGAUGAAUAAGUAAAAAUCCUUAUUUACCAUAGGGGGACGACAAGACCCUAUCAAACUUUACAUUUAUGUUUAGCUGGGGCGGCAAAAAACUAUAACUUUUAUAUAAACUUUUUUUCAAUAACCUGACCGCAGACUUUACCAAUGUUACUGUAGGGAUAACAGCAUUAUUCUUUCCAAAAGAUCUUAUAAAAGAAAGAGUUUUUGACCUCGAUGUUGAAUUAAAAUUCUUCUAGGAGCAACCUCAUAGAAAGAAAGUCUGUUCGACUUUUAAACCUUU